UGUGGGAGCGGGCUUGCCCGCGAUGAGGCCGGCACAUUCAAUGUUGAUGUUGACUGACACGCCGCCAUCGCGGGCAAGCCCGCUCCCACA
rnacentral:misc_RNA from 1 species